UACGUAGGGUGCGAGCGUUGUCCGGAAUUAUUGGGCGUAAAGAGCUCGUAGGCGGUGUGUCACGUCGUUCGUGAAAACCUGCAGCUUAACUGUGGGCGUGCGGUCGAUACGGGCAUCACUGGAGUUCGGCAGGGGAGACUGGAAUUCCUGGUGUAGCGGUGAAAUGCGCAGAUAUCAGGAGGAACACCGGUGGCGAAGGCGGGUCUCUGGGCCGUAACUGACGCUGGAGGAGCGAAAGCGUGGGGAGCGAACAGG
rnacentral:rRNA from 1 species